rnacentral:rRNA from 1 species
UACGUAGGGGGCAAGCGUUGUCCGGAUUUAUUGGGCGUAAAGAGCGUGUAGGCGGCCAGGUAGGUCUGCUGUGAAAACUCGAGGCUUAACCUCGAGCUGUCGGCGGAAACCAUCUGGCUAGAGUCCGGAAGAGGAGAAUGGAAUUCCCGGUGUAGCGGUGAAAUGCGCAGAUAUCAGGAGGAACACCGGUGGUGUAGACGGCUUUCUGGACCGUAACUGACGCUGAGACACGAAAGCGUGGGUAGCAAACAGG